rnacentral:tRNA from 1 species
GUCUUAGUAGUAUAUCUAAAUACACUGGUCUUGUAAACCAAAGACGGAGGAUAACUCCCUCCCCAAGACU